CAUAAUAGUAAUAUUAUAAACAUUAUUCAUAGAGCAUUAACACAAAUAAAUCAAACAAUUUUUUUUGUUUUCUAUAAUUUCAACUAUAUCCAUUUUUUUUUUCAUAAAUGUAAUGUUAUAUUUUUAAGAAUCUAUCUAAAUAUCUAUAUUUCAAUCAUGGAUGAGUACAGUGAGCAUUUGGAUAUGCGGUCAAAUAUACUUUAUUUUCCGCAUGAAUUGGACCGAAUUGAAAAUAAUUUUGUUGCGCUACAUAACGCACUGAGAAGUGGUAACAUAGAUUAUUGUUUAAAAAGACUAAACAACAUCCUUGCUAAUCCAGAAACUAAACAAAAGAUACUUAACCAG